rnacentral:rRNA from 2 species
UACGAAGGGAGCGAGCGUUGUUCGGAAUCACUGGGCUUAAAGCGUGCGUAGGUGGAUUGGUAAGUAAGGAGUGAAAUCCCAGGGCUUAACCCUGGAACUGCUCUUUAGACUGCCUGUCUGGAAUUCGGAAGAGGUUGGUGGAACUCCCAGUGUAGAGGUGAAAUUCGCAGAUAUUGGGAAGAACACCGGUGGCGAAGGCGACCAACUGGUCCGACAUUGACACUGAGGCACGAAAGCGUGGGUAGCAAACAGG